GGCUCUGUGGCUCAACUGGUAGAGCACUAGCCUUGAGUGCAAAGAGACUCAGGGACAGCCCUCAGGGCCU
rnacentral:tRNA from 1 species